UACACGGCUCUCCGGCUCCACGGACUACCUCGUCACGUCCACAUCUUGACAUUGGAACCUUGGAAAGCUGGCUCCAUUCUCCUAAGAUUGGAAAACACUUUGGAGAAGAGUCAUGGUUCUCCAAAUUUAGAUGCAGAACAACUUGAUCAAGUAAACAGUCACAUAACGGUGGAUAUCCGCAAGAUAUUCCUGUACCAGAUUAAAGAUAUAAAGGAGACUACACUCGCUGGUAACCAGUGGCUGCAAGAUGCCAGACAAAUGGAUUGGAGUACUAGGUAUGUGUACUCUGGAGGAGAUGACGGUAUUCUACCAGAGGA
rnacentral:misc_RNA from 1 species